UCGAACCGGGCGCCCCUGGAUGUAAGGGAAGCUGGUGUGUCCUGCCAUAUACUGCGGCAGGGUAAAGCCAGCACGGUCCCGCCACUGUGAGUGGGGAGUCGCUCUGCAUGAUGCCACUGUCCAAAGGGCAGUGUUUAGUGAAAAGUGUUAAGUGUGAAGUAUGAGGAUCUGAAACUCAACACUUAACACUCAACACUAAACGCUAUGUGGAUGGGAAGGCGCAGAGUCGGCAACGAUCCACAAGUCAGGAGACCUAUCCAGGGGAACAGACAACG
rnacentral:ncRNA from 2 species